rnacentral:rRNA from 1 species
CGGACGGGUGAGUAAUGUCUGGGAAACUGCCUGAUGGAGGGGGAUAACUACUGGAAACGGUAGCUAAUACCGCAUAACGUCGCAAGACCAAAGAGGGGGACCUUCGGGCCUCUUGCCAUCGGAUGUGCCCAGAUGGGAUUAGCUAGUAGGUGGGGUAAAGGCUCACCUAGGCGACGAUCCCUAGCUGGUCUGAGAGGAUGACCAGCCACACUGGAACUGAGCACGGUCCAG